UUACGGGGCAGUUAUAUCCAUGU
rnacentral:miRNA from 1 species